rnacentral:lncRNA from 1 species
GGCUUUCACAGUGACAUGUUUACACCAAGCAUGACUCAGGAAAGUGUGUGUGUGUGUGUGUGUGUGUGUGUGUGUGUGUGUGUGUGAAAAAAUAAAAAAAAAUAAUAAAAUUGUGCUAAGAGGGAAAGGGAAGAAGGAAAUAGGCACCAUAAACUGACGGGUAAGAACUAGUUGUCAAAGGUGUACACAGAACUGGCAAAGAUUUUUAAGGCAGCUGUUCAGACCGUUGGUAAUAUCACCAGGUCAUUUCGUAGUACGAAGCUCAGAUAAUAAGCUGAGAUGUGGAAGUGUUCAGCUUCCUCAACGCGAAAGAUCAGUGAGUUGAACCAGCUCAGUUGGUCUCUAAAAUUGAGAGAAAUAGACAAGCUUUAUAAAACCUACUGUUGAGGCCCGUGGAAAAGAAAACGGCAUGUCUCUAGUGUUACUGAAAGGUGGAGCUGUUUUUCUGGACAUCACGGUGACUUUGGACCAGGAUUGUUCAUCGGUUUGAACAAUCUGAAGCAGCACUGGUCCGCUCCAUUCCGUUGGACCAGUAUUUCUACUUUUGGGAAUAAGUCACACAGAAAUAGUCCCAAGAGGGCAGAAAACCAACUUGUCCACAGAUGGGAAGAAACUGGCAAGAAUCCACAUGAUGCCAGACUCCAGGUGCUCCUGCCGAGGAACCAGAAGCAUGCUUCCAGAAACUUCAGGAUGGCCCUGUGUCCCUUCCCUUACCCAGCCCAGUUCUCCUGUAUUUUCUGAAAAACUUCUACAAGUAUAUCGUCUGAGCUUCAUGAGAGUUGUUCUGUAGAUCAAGUCACGUUUGCCAUUCAAGAGACCCGGGGUUGAGCAAUGGGCGAUUCCAAGCAUUUAAAAAAAUGUUUUAUGUAUUUUUGAGAGAGAGAGCGUGAGCAGGGGAGCCUCCGAGAGAGAGGGAGGCACAGAAUCUGAAGACAGGCUCCAGGCUCUGAGCUAGCUGUCAGCACAGAGCCUGGCACGGGGCUGGAACCCACAAACUGUGAGUUCAUGACCUGAGCUGAAGUUGGAUGCUUAACCAGCUGAGCCACCCAGGCGCCCCAGUUCCAAGCAUUUUCAACACAAAAACUAAUCACCCAGCAAUAGCACUGCUAGGGAUUUAUCCAAGGGAUACAGAAGUACUGACACAUAGGAGCACAUGUACCCCAAUGUUCAUAGCAGCAAUGUCAACAAUAACCAAAACAUGAAAAGAGCCUAAAUGUCCAUCACCUGAUGAGUGGAUCAAGAAGAUGUGGUAUAUAUACACAAUGGAGUACUACAUGGCAAUGAGAAAGAAUGAAAUCUGGCCAUUUGUAGCAAAAUGGAUGGACCUUGAGGGUGUCAUGCUAAGCGAAAUAAGUCAGGCAGAGAAGG